AACGCUAGCUACAGGCUUAACACAUGCAAGUCGAGGGGCAGCACAGUGUAGCAAUACACGGGUGGCGACCGGCGCACGGGUGCGUAACGCGUAUCCAACCUUCCCGUUACUCUUGGAUAGCCUUCCGAAAGGGAGAUUAAUACAAGAUGGUAUUCAAAUUCCGCAUGUUAUUUGAAUUAAAGAUUUAUCGGUAACGGAUGGGGAUGCGUGACAUUAGAUAGUAGGCGGGGUAACGGCCCACCUAGUCUACGAUGUCUAGGGGUUCUGAGAGGAAGGUCCCCCACACUGGAACUGAGACACGGUCCAGACUCCUACGGGAGGCAGCAGUGAGGAAUAUUGGUCAAUGGUCGGAAGACUGAACCAGCCAAGUAGCGUGAAGGAUGAAGGUUCUAUGGAUUGUAAACUUCUUUUAUACGGGAAUAAAACCUCCCACGUGUGGGAGCUUGUAUGUACCGUAUGAAUAAGCAUCGGCUAACUCCGUGCCAGCAGCCGCGGUAAUACGGAGGAUGCGAGCGUUAUCCGGAUUUAUUGGGUUUAAAGGGAGCGUAGGUGGUCUGUUAAGCCAGCUGUGAAAUACUGUAGCUCAACUACAGCCGUGCAGUUGGAACUGGCAGACUUGAGUACACUAGAGGAAGGUGGAAUUCGUGGUGUAGCGGUGAAAUGUUUAGAUAUCACGAAGAACUCCGAUUGCGAAGGCAGCCUUCUGGAGUGCAACUGACACUGAGGCUCGAAAGUGUGGGUAUCGAACAGGAUUAGAUACCCUGGUAGUCCACACAGUAAACGAUGGAUACUCGCUGCCGGCGAUACAAUGUCGGUGGCUUAGCGAAAGCGUUAAGUAUUCCACCUGGGGAGUACGCCGGCAACGGUGAAACUCAAAGGAAUUGACGGGGGCCCGCACAAGCGGAGGAACAUGUGGUUUAAUUCGAUGAUACGCGAGGAACCUUACCCGGGCUUAAAUUGCAGAGGACAGGCUCAGAGAUGGGCUCUUCUUCGGACCUCUGUGAAGGUGCUGCAUGGUUGUCGUCAGCUCGUGCCGUGAGGUGUCGGCUUAAGUGC
rnacentral:rRNA from 1 species